rnacentral:misc_RNA from 1 species
GAUGAAGAACGCAGCGAAAUGCGAUAAGUGGUGUGAAUUGCAGAAUUCAGUGAAUCAUCGAAUCUUUGAACGCACAUUGCGCCCCUUGGUAUUCCAUGGGGCAUGCCUGUUCGAGCGUCAUUUGUACCUUCAAGCUUUGCUUGGUGUUGGGUGUUUGUCCCUCGGGACUCGCCUUAAAGUCAUUGGCAGCCAGUGUUUUGGUUUUGAAGCGCAGCACAAGUCGCGAUUCAAGGCUAUCCGCCCGCUUCCACAAGCCUUUUUCACUUUUGACCUCGGAUCAGGUAGGGAUACCCGCUGAACUUAAGCAUAUCAAUAAGCGGAGGA